CUACGGGAUGCACCAGUAAGGAAUAUUGCGCAAUGGAGGCAACUCUGACGCAGCCAUGCCGCGUGCAGGAAGAAGGCCUUAUGGGUCGUAAACUGCUUUUAUUUAGGAAUAAACCCCCGAACGUGUUCGGGGCUGAAGGUACUAAACGAAUAAGCACCGGCUAACUCCGUGCCAGCAGCCGCGGUAAUACGGAGGGUGCAAGCGUUAUCCGGAUUUAUUGGGUUUAAAGGGUGCGCAGGCGGGCUAUUAAGUCAGUGGUGAAAUCCCGGGGCUCAACUCCGGAACUGCCAUUGAUACUGAUAGUCUUGAGUUUGGUUGCAGUGGGCGGAAUGUAGCAUGUAGCGGUGAAAUGCAUAGAUAUGCUACAGAACACCAAUCGCGAAGGCAGCUCACUAAGCCAAAACUGACGCUCAUGCACGAAAGCGUGGGGAUCAAACAGGAUUCGAUACCCGGGUAGUC
rnacentral:rRNA from 1 species